rnacentral:rRNA from 1 species
AUUGAACGCUGGCGGCAGGCCUAACACAUGCAAGUCGAGCGAGCGGCGGACGGGUGAGUAAUGUACAGGGACUGCCCGAUCGAGGGGGAUAACUACUGGAAACGGAAGCAAAUACCGCAUCAUAUCGGAUAACCCAUAUGGGAUUAGCUAGUAGGUGAGGUAAUGGCUCACCUAGGCGACGAUCCCUAGCGGUUCUGAGAGGAUGAUCAGCCACACUGGGACGGAGACACGGCCCAGACUCAUACGGAGGCAGCAGUGGGGAAUAUUGCACAAUGGGCGCAAGCCGGAUGCAGCCAUGCCGCGUGUAUGAAGAAGGCCCUAGGGUUGUAAAGUACUUUCAGUCGGGAGGCGUUACCGACAGAAGAAGCACCGGCUAACUCCGUGCCAGCAGCCGCGGUAAUUC